ACAAUCCAUGUGCUGACAUUUUCAGUUUACCCCGAGGUAACAAUGUGCAUAUACCUUAGUCGCUGCAUCCGUCAAAGACCAGCGAUCAGUAUUGAUCUACUUCUAGUGAGCCUCACAUCGGCUUAAAUGUAAAAGACAUUUGAGUCAGGGUGGAAUUCUUGGGUAGUCGGCCGUCUGGGUGCUGUAUCUCCAGGAUACAUAAUCCACAAACACCGGCAGAGGCUGAUGUUAAGCUGGUGUCGAGAGGCAGGGAGCCUCCGUGGCAUGUCAGGGUACACAGGGUGGAUAAGUCUUAAGCUGUGGGACAAGUAGACAGGAGGAAUUCAAUCUGAUUUUGGUGGCUGAAUGGUGUUCUAUGUCAAGGGGCAAGAUUGAUUUUUGAUCCUUAGUUCCAGUGUGGUCGGAUUGUUGAGAACAGUGUGGUGCCACUCAUGCCUCUGGUAUCUAUCUACCCACACUGGGAUGAAUCUUUCCAUCACAUCACCACGGUGUAACUAGAAAUCAUUUCAAAAUGACGGAAUCUCGUAGUGCCGGCAAAGCAGGUGGCAAGUCGGAGCCUGCACCAUCUAUCGUUAAAUUCAAUAUUGGGGGAAAGAAGUUUGAGACACUUUCGUUGACACUUAAGAAGUUUCCCGGGACCCGCUUGGCAUCGCUUCACCCCCAGGCAGACGAGUAUAACAGGGAUACAGGGGAGUACUUCUUUGACAGGGACCCAAUUGCGUUUGGGUGUAUCCUGAAUCUAUACCGCACAUCGUCCCUCCACUUCCCUGAUCAUCUAUGCGGCAACUACCUUCGCGAGGAACUCAACUUCUGGCGAAUUCCGGAGAGUCUGGUCAGCGAGUGCUGCUGGACAGUGUUCUUUAAUGCAGAGCAGGACAAUCAAAUUUUCCGAAACCUCAAGAAGACCUUUUCCUUCCUGGACAAGGAUCCGCGACUCAAUGAGACAGGGAAAGGGGGCAUGGAGCUUUGGAUGCAUCGAAUCUGGCUCCUCUUGGACAAGCCCAACUCUUCUCGUGCAGCUAAGAUCUGGAGCACCUUCUACAUGUUCCUUGUGUUCAUCUCAGUGAGCCUUUUCUGCGCGCAGUCACACCCUACGUUCCGAGUGGCCAGGGCCGACGUCAGCCACACCAUGCGCAACAUCACCAACCCCAAGAUCCGCAUGUACCACGAGACCAACAUGCGCCCUGAGUUGUACUGGCUUGAUGUGGCCUGUGUGGUCGUGUUCACUGUGGAGAUUCUUCUCUAUCUCCUCUGUGUCCCGGACAAAGGCAGGUUCUACAAGAGCUUCACGAACGUCAUCAAUUUCAUCCUUGUCUUGGUUGCAUGGGCUGCAUUUGCAAUGGAGAUGACGAUGGGGGAUGAGCUUCUUGACGGGAAGGGCGUCACCUAUUGGACAUACGGGACGCUGAAGCUUCUUCUCGUUCUCAGGAUACUCCGGUUCUUUCGCCUGUCACAGCGGUACUCGUCCCUCAAUGUCAUCGUGCUUGCCAUGAAGGCAAGUCUUAACGAGCUAAUUCUGAUGGUGAUGUCGUUUUUCCUGACGGCCACCAUCUACGGCUGCGUCAUCUACGUCGUGGAGAUACACAGCAACUCCUUCCACGACAUCCCAGUUUCAAUAUGGUGGGCUAUUGUUACCAUGACGACCGUUGGAUACGGUGACUUUUACCCCUUGUCUGGGCUUGGGCGCACCAUAGGGACGUUCUGUGCUAUAUGUGGUCUGGUUGUGUUGUCAAUGCCCAUUGCUAUUAUUGCCGCCAAUUUCAACAACUUUCAGUCUCGGAACGAGGAACGACAGCAACGUCGACGGGGAAACCAAAACACCCCCCUGAAGAAGAUAGGAUGGAUGGCAAACGUCCCUAUAAUCCACCAGUACACGUCCAAUCCAAUGGACCCGAACUCUCUCUCAACAAAGGCCAAGAUUAAAAUGAUUACAACGAAACCGCAGAAUCGGAACAAUUAAUAUGGGGUGCAGUGGACGGCUAGUGGAUCGUUUGCAAUUUGCACCAGAAUUUGAAAUGACUUCUGGCUACUGUGGUCUUUCUGAUCGACCAUCACAUUUAUGGAUACAGUGGAGAAUACAGUCUGCCGUAGGAUACCCAACAGCAAAGGUUUCAAAGACAUUUUCAGCAAUGACUCGGCUGUCGCACGCAGUGUCGUGUCCACAUUCGGUUUUUAAUAUGUUUGGCAGCUGCAAACGUCAUCCGGCGACUUGAAUCGCCUUCAGCAAGUACAACGAACUUUUGAUAGUUGAUAAUAGACACGUUAACGUUAUUGUACGUUGGAAUAUACAAGUUCAACUGCUGUCAUGUGUGUGGAAACUGGUACUGUGUAAAUAAUGACAUAUUCUGACAAGUGUUUGUUGGAGGGAGAAUCUCUCAUGUUGAUGCAAUUGUCAGUAUCCCUGCUGUGAUAUUGUUUGGCUAUUUCCGCUUGUCAUUCAAACAUUGAAGUGAUAUGUAUUUCUAUAUAUCUUGAUAUUUGUUGAGCAUUUUCUGAUGUAGUUUGGACACCCUUCUGUAUGAUUGUAGAUUGCAGAUUGCGAUAACAACAGUAAUAAUAAUAAUAAUAAUAAUAAUAAUAAUAAAAAUAAUAAUAAUUAGUAAUGACGAUACUAAUAAUUCACGUUUAUCAUUUUAAUCUUUACUUUCUAGCAUGUAUAUUGCAUUGCGCUUACAACACAUUGCGCGUGCUCUCACCGAGUACAGUUUAUCCGUCACAUGUACAUAACAUCUAUCCGUCUGAAAGAUAUAUCCGCCGAAACUGAUUCAAUCACAAUUUUACUCUUGGAAUUCCUUAUUUGUGUUGUAAACCUGGAUAUAUAUGUCAGGUAUCGGGUAUAUUAAGGUUAUAGGUCAGAUAUCGGGUAUAUCAAGGUUAUGUCAGGUAUCGGGUAUAUUAAGGUUAUAUGUCAGAUCUCGGGUUUAUCCAGGUUAUAUGUCAGAUAUCGGGUAUAUCCAGGUUAUAUGUCAGGUAUCGGGUAUAUCCAGGUUAUAUGUCAGAUAUCGGGUAUAUCAAGGUUAUAUGUAAGGUAUCGGGUAUAUCCAGGUUAUAUGUCAGGUAUCGUGUACAUCCAGGUUAUAUGUCAGAUAUCGGGUAUAUCAAAGUUAUAUGUCAGAUAUCGGGUAUAUCAAGGUUAUAUGUAAGUUGUCGGGUAUAUCCAGGUUAAAUGUAAGUUGUCGGGUAUAUCCAGGUUAUAUGUCAGAUAUCAGGUAUAUCCAGGUUAUAUGUAAGUUGUCGGGUAUAUCCAGGUUAUAUGUCAGGUAGCAGGCAUAUCCAGGUUAUAUGUCAGGUAUCGGGUAUAUCAAGGUUAUAUGUCAGGUAUUGGGUAUAUCAAGGUUAUAUGUCAGGUAUCGGGUAUAUCAAGGUUAUAUGUCAGGUAUCGGGUAUAUCCAGGUUAAAUGUAAGUUGUCGGGUAUAUCCAGGUUAUAUGUCAGGUAUCGGGUAUAUCCAGGUUAUAUGUCAGGUAGCAGGCAUAUCCAGGUUAUAUGUCAGGUAUCGGGUAUAUCCAGGUUAUAUGUCAGGUAUUGGGUAUAUCCAGGUUAUAUGUCAGGUAUCGGGUAUAUCCAGGUUAUAUGUCAGGUAUUGGGUAUAUCCAGGUUAUAUGUCAGGUAUUGGGUAUAUCAAGGUUAUAUGUCAGGUAUCGGGUAUAUCCAGGUUAUAUGUCAGAUAUUGGGUAUAUCCAGGUUAUAUGUCAGGUAUCGGGGAUAUCCAGGUUAUAUGUCAGAUAUCGGGUAUAUCCAGGUUAUAUGUCAGAUAUCGGGUAUAUCAAGGUUAUAUGUAAGGUAUCGGGUAUAUCCAGGUUAUAUGUCAGGUAUCGGGUAGAUCCAGGUUAUAUGUCAGGUAGCAGGCAUGUUCAGGUUAUAUGUCAGGUAUCGUGUAUAUCCAGGUUAUAUGUCAGGUAUCGGGUAUAUCUAGGUUAUAUGUCAGGAAAUCGGGUAUAUCAAGGUUAUGUCAGGUAGCAGGCAUAUCCAGGUUAUAUAUCAGGUAUCGGGUAUAUCCAGGUUAUAUGUCAGGUAUCGGGUAUAUCAAGGUUAUAUGUCAGGUAGCAGGUACAUCCAGGUUAUAUGUCAGGUAUCGGGUAUAUCCAGGUUAUAUGUCAGGUAUUGGGUAUAUCAAGGUUAUAUGUCAGGUAUCAGGUACAUACAGGUUAUAUAUCAGGUAUCGGGUAUAUCCAGGUUAUAUGUCAGGUAUUGGGUAUACCAAGGUUAUAUGUCAGGUAGCAGGUAGAUCCAGGUUAUAUGUCAGGUAUCGGGUAUAUCCAGGUUAUAUGUCAGGUAUCAGAUAUAACCAGGUUAUAUAUGUCAGGUAUCAGGUAUAUCCAGGUUGUAUGUCAGAUAUCGGGUAUAUCAAGGUUAUAUGUCAGAUAUCGGGUAUAUCAAGGUUAUAUGUCAGGCAUCAGGUAUAUCCAGGUUAUAUGUCAGGUAUCGGGGGUCCAGGUUGUAUGUCAGAUAUCGGGUAUAUCCAGGCUAUAUGUCAGGUAUCGGGUAUAUCAAGGUUUUAUGUCAGAUAUCGGGUAUAUCCAGGUUAUAUGUCAGGUAUCAGAUAUAUCCAGAUUAUAUGUCAGGUAGCAGGUACAUACAGAUUAUGUGUCAGGUAUCAGAUAUUUCCAGGUUAUAUGUCAGGUAGCAGAUAUAUCCAGGUUAUAUAUGUUAAGUAUCGGGUAUAUCCAGGUUAUAUGUCAGGUAUCGGGUAUAUCCAGGUGGUAUUCCAGGUAUAUACAUCGAACACAACGAAUACAAUGAAAGCACAUUUCAACUAUCCUCAUAUCGGAGUUAUACAGUACUUAACCAAAUCAUACCACAACUAUAGGCGAUGGCCUUACAUGUCCAGUGUAUUAAUACUGAACGCUGUUAGAAGAUGUUCUGCAAGUGUAGAUGAAAGUGGGUCAAUGUGACACAAAAGCACUAUAUUUUCCGCACACUACGCGCGUCAUAUACAGCAUUGGCUUGCUGCGUGUUAACCAGUUAUGACACACAAAUAACACGUUAAAACGUUGUUGUCCUUUUAAGAUGUAUUUUUGAAUAAACAAUCUGAAACACUAACAACUGGAUUUUUUGUCUGGAUGUUUAGUAACAGAGAGGAGGGCCUGCACUAGUGAAUAUUGGAGUGAGUGAGUGAGUUG
rnacentral:misc_RNA from 1 species